GAUGAACGCUGGCGGCGUGCCUAAUACAUGCAAGUCGAGCGAACAGACGAGGAGCUUGCUCCUUUGACGUUAGCGGCGGACGGGUGAGUAACACGUGGGUAACCUACCUAUAAGACUGGGAUAACUUCGGGAAACCGGAGCUAAUACCGGAUAAUAUUUCGAACCGCAUGGUUCGAUAGUGAAAGAUGGCUCUGCUAUCACUUAUAGAUGGACCUGCGCCGUAUUAGCUAGUUGGUAAGGUAACGGCUUACCAAGGCAACGAUACGUAGCCGACCUGAGAGGGUGAUCGGCCACACUGGAACUGAGACACGGUCCAGACUCCUACGGGAGGCAGCAGUAGGGAAUCUUCCGCAAUGGGCGAAAGCCUGACGGAGCAACGCCGCGUGAGUGAUGAAGGUCUUCGGAUCGUAAAACUCUGUUAUUAGGGAAGAACAAACGUGUAAGUAACUGUGCACGUCUUGACGGUACCUAAUCAGAAAGCCACGGCUAACUACGUGCCAGCCGCCGCGGUAA
rnacentral:rRNA from 1 species